rnacentral:rRNA from 1 species
GUUAUAGGGUCAAGUGAAUAAGUGCACGUGGUGGAUGCCUUGGCGAUCACAGGCGAUGAAGGACGUUGUAGCUUGCGAUAAGCUGCGGGGAGCUAGCAAACAAGCUUUGAUCCGCAGAUUUCCGAAUGGGGAAACCCGGCCCUUUUGGGUCAUCCCGUGCUGAAUACAUAGGCGCGUGGAGGCGAACGCAGCGAACUGAAACAUCUAAGUAGCUGCAGGAAAAGAAAUCAACCGAGAUUCCGAAAGUAGUGGCGAGCGAAAUCGGAGUAGCCAGUGCGUGAUAGUCGACGAGUUAACAGAACGGUCUGGAAAGUCCGGCCAUAGUGGGUGAUAGCCCCGUACGUAAAAACUUGUCGGUGGUACUGAGCGCGCAAUAAGUAGGGCGGGACACGUGAAAUCCUGUCUGAAGAUGGGGGGACCAUCCUCCAAGGCUAAAUACUCGUGAUCGACCGAUAGUGAACUAGUACCGUGAGGGAAAGGCGAAAAGAACCCCGGGAGGGGAGUGAAAUAGAUCCUGAAACCGCGUGCAUACAAACAGUCGGAGCCCGCAAGGGUGACGGCGUACCUUUUGUAUAAUGGGUCAGCGACUUACGUUUAGUGGCAAGCUUAACCGUUUAGGGAAGGCGUAGGGAAACCGAGUCCGAAUAGGGCGAUCCAGUCGCUAGAUGUAGACCCGAAACCGGGUGAUCUACCCAUGGCCAGGAUGAAGGUGAGGUAACACUUACUGAAGGUCCGAACCGACUACUGUUGCAAAAGUAGCGGAUGAGCUGUGGGUAGGGGUGAAAGGCUAAACAAACCCGGAGAUAGCUGGUUCUCCCCGAAAACUAUUUAGGUAGUGCGUCAUGUAUUGCUCCAGGGGGUAGAGCACUGUAAUGGUUGGGGGGGUCAUCGCGACUUACCUCGCCAUAGCAAACUCCGAAUACCUGGAAGUAUGAGCAUGGCAGACAGACUGUGGGUGCUAACGUCCAUGGUCAAGAGGGAAACAACCCAGACCGCCAGCUAAGGUCCCUAAUAUCCGCUAAGUGGGAAACGAAGUGGGAAGGCUAAGACAGUCAGGAGGUUGGCUUAGAAGCAGCCACCCUUUAAAGAAAGCGUAAUAGCUCACUGAUCGAGUCGUCCUGCGCGGAAGAUGUAACGGGGCUAAGCGGGUAACCGAAGCUGCGGAUUUGCGUAAGCAAGUGGUAGGGGAGCGUUCUGUAGAUCUGCGAAGGUGUUCCGUGAGGAAUGCUGGAGAUAUCAGAAGUGCGAAUGCUGACAUGAGUAGCGUUAAAACGGGUGAAAAGCCCGUUCGCCGUAAGCGCAAGGUUUCCUACGCAACGUUCAUCGGCGUAGGGUGAGUCGGCCCCUAAGGCGAGGGCGAAAGCCGUAGUCGAUGGGAAGCUGGUUAAUAUUCCAGCACCGAUUCUGAGUGCGAUGGGGGGACGGAUCGUGAAAGGUUGUCCGGGUGUUGGAUGUCCCGGUUCUUGGCCUGUAGGUGUCUGGUAGGAAAAUCCGCCAGGCGUAUGCCGAGGGGUCGAGACGAGUGAGCAUGUCUCGCGAAGCAACUGGAAGGGGUCCCAGGAAAAGCCUCUAAGCUUCAGCUCAGAACGACCGUACCGCAAACCGACACUGGUGCGCGAGAUGAGUAUUCUCAGGCGCUUGAGAGAACUCGGGAGAAGGAACUCGGCAAAUUGACACCGUAACUUCGGAAGAAGGUGUGCCCCGGUAGCUUGAGUGUGAACAACACAAGGGCGAAAGGGUCGCAGAGAAUCGGUGGCUGCGACUGUUUAACAAAAACACAGCACUCUGCAAACACGAAAGUGGACGUAUAGGGUGUGACGCCUGCCCGGUGCCGGAAGGUUAAGUGAUGGGGUGCAAGCUCUUGAUCGAAGCCCCGGUAAACGGCGGCCGUAACUAUAACGGUCCUAAGGUAGCGAAAUUCCUUGUCGGGUAAGUUCCGACCUGCACGAAUGGCGUAACGAUGGCCACACUGUCUCCUCCCGAGACUCAGCGAAGUUGAAAUGGUUGUGAAGAUGCAAUCUACCCGCAGCUAGACGGAAAGACCCCAUGAACCUUUACUGUAGCUUUGCAUUGGACUACGAGCCGAUUUGUGUAGGAUAGGUGGGAGGCUUUGAAGUGCGGACGCUAGUUCGCAUGGAGCCAACCUUGAAAUACCACCCUGGUUUGUUCGCGGUUCUAACCUAGGCCCGUUAUCCGGGCUGGGAACAGUGCAUGGUAGGCAGUUUGACUGGGGCGGUCUCCUCCUAAAGCGUAACGGAGGAGUUCGAAGGUACGCUUGGCACGGUCGGACAUCGUGCCUAAAGUGCAAGGGCAAAAGCGUGCUUAACUGCGAGACUGACAAGUCGAGCAGGUGCGAAAGCAGGACAUAGUGAUCCGGUGGUUCUGAAUGGAAGGGCCAUCGCUCAACGGAUAAAAGGUACUCCGGGGAUAACAGGCUGAUACCGCCCAAGAGUUCAUAUCGACGGCGGUGUUUGGCACCUCGAUGUCGGCUCAUCACAUCCUGGGGCUGUAGCCGGUCCCAAGGGUAUGGCUGUUCGCCAUUUAAAGUGGUACGUGAGCUGGGUUCAAAACGUCGUGAGACAGUUUGGUCCCUAUCUGCUGUGGGCGUUGGAGAUUUGACGGGGGCUGCUCCUAGUACGAGAGGACCGGAGUGGACGCACCUCUGGUGUACCAGUUGUCACGCCAGUGGCAUUGCUGGGUAGCUAUGUGCGGAAGAGAUAACCGCUGAAAGCAUCUAAGCGGGAAACUUGCCUGAAGAUGAGAUCUCCCUGGGGACUCGAUCCCCCUCAAGGGUCGUCCGAGACCAGGACGUUGAUAGGCCAGGUGUGGAAGCGUGGUAACACGUUAAGCUAACUGGUACUAAUUGCCCGUGAGGCUUGACCCUAUAACUUUGCG